UUGGAUCACCUCCUAACAGGGAGACAAACAACGAUUUUGAUGUCUGAGUUAUUUAUUCUUAGGCCAAAAUCCUGUCACCUUUAGGUCGAUCGGUACCUCAACUUUUGAAGCUAAGAGAGUUCCAGCAAUGGUUGUCUGCUUAGUGGAAAUUUUUAGUUCCUAAACUUUGUCUAGUUCACAACCCAUUAGGGAUGAGACUCCUGGGCCAUUAGCUCAGGUGGUUAGAGCGCACCCCUGAUAAGGGUGAGGUCCCUGGUUCAAGUCCAGGAUGGCCCAUUCGGUGUAGGGGGUUUAGCUCAGUUGGUAGAGCGCCUGCUUUGCAAGCAGGAUGUCAGGAGUUCGAGUCUCCUAACCUCCACUGACUACCAAAAUCCCCAUCUCCAAAACCUGGAGUAUGAACUCGUAUGGAUUGUGAUUUAGAUUUGUCCGCUAGAUGACCCUAGCUUCUUGUCAUUUUAAGGCAUGGAAAUAAUUCCAUGAUUUGAUUGAUAGGAUGCUGGGCUCGAUGCAAUGUAUUGAGAGAUCAAUGCAUUGUUUUGAUGUCUAGCCGAACCUUGACAACUGCAUAGUUUAAGUCUGGAAAGAAUAAAGCAUCUUUAUGGAUGCAUCAUUUUUUCGUGUUAGCGCAUGAAAGAGUGAUGUUAAUUCUAAAGCAAGAGCCGAGACUCCAGUAUGUUCUUUCAAAUGUGUCGAGCAUUUGAGAGUUUGAUUUUAAUUUCUAAUUUUAGGAGCUAUUUUUAGAGUCUAAUUUUAAAAAUUAGAAAAAUCUGUUUCAACAACAGCAAGCGUGCUGGAGAUACAUUGGUCAAGCUACAAAGGGCUCACGGCGGAUACCUUGGCACACAGAGGCGAUGAAGGA
rnacentral:tRNA from 1 species